GAAGGCCUACGGGACGCAGCAGUAGGGAAUUUUCGUCAAUGGGCGCAAGCCUGAACGAGCGAUGCCGCGUGAGUGAAGAAGGCCUUCGGGUCGUAAAGCUCUGUUGCGGGGGAAAAAAGGCAGCAUCAGGAAAUGGGGGCGGACUGAUGGGGCCCCGCCAGAAAGUCACGGCUAACUACGUGCCAGCAGCCGCGGUAAUACGUAGGGGGCGAGCGUUAUCCGGAAUGAUUGGGCGUAAAGGGUGCGCAGGCGGUCCUGC
rnacentral:rRNA from 1 species